rnacentral:rRNA from 1 species
CUACGGGCUGCACCAGUGAGGAAUAUUGCACAAUGGGGGGAACCCUGAUGCAGCAACGCCGCGUGGAGGAUGACGCAUUUCGGUGUGUAAACUCCUUUUAUAUGUCAAGAAAAUGACGGUAGCAUAUGAAUAAGCACCGGCUAACUCCGUGCCAGCAGCCGCGGUAAUACGGAGGGUGCAAGCGUUACUCGGAAUCACUGGGCGUAAAGGACGCGUAGGCGGGUUGGAAAGUCAGGUGUGAAAUCCUACAGCUUAACUGUAGAACCGCACUUGAAACUUCUAAUCUAGAGUAUGGGAGGGGGAGAUGGAAUUAGUGGUGUAGGGGUAAAAUCCGUAGAUAUCACUAGGAAUACCUAAAGCGAAGGCGAUCUCCUGGAACAUUACUGACGCUAAGGCGUGAAAGCGUGGGGAGCAAACAGGAUUAGAUACCCUUGUAGUC